rnacentral:rRNA from 1 species
UACGUAGGGGGCAAGCGUUGUCCGGAUUUAUUGGGCGUAAAGAGCGUGUAGGCCGGCCUGAAAGGUCAGCUGUGAAAACUCGAGGCUCAACCUCGAGACGUCGGUUGAAACCAUCUGGCUAGAGUCCGGAAGAGGAGUGUGGAAUUCCCGGUGUAGCGGUGAAAUGCGCAGAUAUCGGGAAGAACACCAGUGGCGAAGGCGGCUCACUGGGCAGUAACUGACGCUGAGGAGCGAAAGCGUGGGGAGCGAACGAGG